GGCCUUCAAUCCCUCCCCCCAACUCUUCCA
rnacentral:piRNA from 1 species